rnacentral:rRNA from 1 species
GACGAACGCUGGCGGCGUGCCUAAUACAUGCAAGUCGAACGCAGGGGGGACGGGUGAGUAACACGUGGGUAACCUCCCAUCAGAGGGGAUAACACUUGGAAACAGGUGCUAAACCGAUACGGGUGGUAGGUACCGCGGUGCAUUAGCUAGUUGGGGAGGUAACGGCUCACCAAGGCCACGAUGCUGAGCCGACCUGAUGGGGUGAUCGCCAACAUUGGGACUGGGCCCCGGCCCAGACUCCGACGGGAGGCAGCAGUAGGGAAUUUUCGUCAAUGGGCGAAAGUCUAACCGGGCAACGCCGCGUGAGUGAAGAAGGUUUUCGGAUCGUAAAACUCUGUUGUUAGGGAAGCGGUAUCUAACCAGAAAGCCACGGCUAACUACGUGCCAGCAGCCGCGGUAAUAC